CUCUGCAACACACAACCCAUCACCAUCCCUGUUCUCUUUGUCAUCUUCCCCUAACCCUAAAAUGUGGGAUACUACUGGUCGGAAGCGGUUUUGAACUAUCACAAGCAGUUACUAGAGAGGAGCACAUGGAAUAAUUUGACUGAGAUGGAGAGCUUUAACAAUGCGAAGCAAUGGCUAAGUGAAAUCGACAGAUAUGCAAGCUUCUUGUUGGAGAAUAUGGAAGGAGUGAAUGGUUCAAUUGGGGUUUUGAAGAGGAUGAAAUCUGCCAUUAGGGGUUAUACACAAUGAAAUGACCAAUCUGCCUUUCAAACUAUAAGUAAAAAGACAUCCCUGACCGGGUCAGUUAACAGUCGACUAACAGCAAAUGCUCUGAUGGACUUGAUUGAUUGCAACUGACAACCACAGGGACCUGGAAUGACUGUUUUUUUUUUUUUCAAAUAAGAUCUCUAUGUAAGAAUGGAUGUAAACCAC